UCAAGUGAAGAAGCGCAUACGGUGGAUGCCUUGGCAGUCAGAGGCGAUGAAAGACGUGGUAGCCUGCGAAAAGCUUCGGGGAGUCGGCAAACAGACUUUGAUCCGGAGAUGUCUGAAUGGGGGAACCCAGCCAUCAUAAGAUGGUUAUCUUACGCUGAAUACAUAGGCGUAAGAGGCGAACCAGGGGAACUGAAACAUCUAAGUACCCUGAGGAAAAGAAAUCAACCGAGAUUCCCUUAGUAGUGGCGAGCGAACGGGGACUAGCCCUUAAGUGGCUUUGAGAUUAGCGGAACGCUCUGGAAAGUGCGGCCAUAGUGGGUGAUAGCCCUGUACGCGAAAAUCUCUUAGUCAUGAAAUCGAGUAGGACGGAGCACGAGAAACUUUGUCUGAAUAUGGGGGGACCAUCCUCCAAGGCUAAAUACUACUGACUGACCGAUAGUGAACUAGUACCGUGAGGGAAAGGCGAAAAGAACCCCGGAGAGGGGAGUGAAAUAGAUCCUGAAACCGUAUGCGUACAAGCAGUGGGAGCCCACUUUGUUGGGUGACUGCGUACCUUUUGUAUAAUGGGUCAGCGACUUAUUUUCAGUGGCGAGCUUAACCGAAUAGGGGAGGCGUAGCGAAAGCGAGUCUUAAUAGGGCGUCUAGUCGCUGGGAAUAGACCCGAAACCGGGCGAUCUAUCCAUGGGCAGGUUGAAGGUUGGGUAACACUAACUGGAGGACCGAACCGACUACCGUUGAAAAGUUAGCGGAUGACCUGUGGAUCGGAGUGAAAGGCUAAUCAAGCUCGGAGAUAGCUGGUUCUCCUCGAAAGCUAUUUAGGUAGCGCCUCAUGUAUCACUGUAGGGGGUAGAGCACUGUUUCGGCUAGGGGGUCAUCCCGACUUACCAAACCGAUGCAAACUCCGAAUACCUACAAGUGCCGAGCAUGGGAGACACACGGCGGGUGCUAACGUCCGUCGUGAAAAGGGAAACAACCCAGACCGUCAGCUAAGGUCCCAAAGUUAUGGUUAAGUGGGAAACGAUGUGGGAAGGCUUAGACAGCUAGGAGGUUGGCUUAGAAGCAGCCACCCUUUAAAGAAAGCGUAAUAGCUCACUAGUCGAGUCGGCCUGCGCGGAAGAUGUAACGGGGCUCAAACCAUACACCGAAGCUACGGGUAUCACGUAAGUGAUGCGGUAGAGGAGCGUUCUGUAAGCCUGUGAAGGUGAGUUGAGAAGCUUGCUGGAGGUAUCAGAAGUGCGAAUGCUGACAUGAGUAACGACAAUGGGUGUGAAAAACACCCACGCCGAAAGACCAAGGUUUCCUGCGCAACGUUAAUCGACGCAGGGUUAGUCGGUCCCUAAGGCGAGGCUGAAAAGCGUAGUCGAUGGAAAACAGGUUAAUAUUCCUGUACUUCUGGUUAUUGCGAUGGAGGGACGGAGAAGGCUAGGCCAGCUUGGCGUUGGUUGUCCAAGUUUAAGGUGGUAGGCUGAGAUCUUAGGUAAAUCCGGGAUCUUAAGGCCGAGAGCUGAUGACGAGUUAUCUUUUAGAUGACGAAGUGGUUGAUGCCAUGCUUCCAAGAAAAGCUUCUAAGCUUCAGGUAACCAGGAACCGUACCCCAAACCGACACAGGUGGUUGGGUAGAGAAUACCAAGGCGCUUGAGAGAACUCGGGUGAAGGAACUAGGCAAAAUGGCACCGUAACUUCGGGAGAAGGUGCGCCGGUGAGGGUGAAGGACUUGCUCCGUAAGCUCAUGCCGGUCGAAGAUACCAGGCCGCUGCGACUGUUUAUUAAAAACACAGCACUCUGCAAACACGAAAGUGGACGUAUAGGGUGUGACGCCUGCCCGGUGCCGGAAGGUUAAUUGAUGGGGUUAGCUAACGCGAAGCUCUUGAUCGAAGCCCCGGUAAACGGCGGCCGUAACUAUAACGGUCCUAAGGUAGCGAAAUUCCUUGUCGGGUAAGUUCCGACCUGCACGAAUGGCGUAACGAUGGCGGCGCUGUCUCCACCCGAGACUCAGUGAAAUUGAAAUCGCUGUGAAGAUGCAGUGUAUCCGCGGCUAGACGGAAAGACCCCGUGAACCUUUACUAUAGCUUUGCACUGGACUUUGAAUUUGCUUGUGUAGGAUAGGUGGGAGGCUUUGAAGCGUGGACGCCAGUCUGCGUGGAGCCAACCUUGAAAUACCACCCUGGCAACUUUGAGGUUCUAACUCAGGUCCGUUAUCCGGAUCGAGGACAGUGUAUGGUGGGUAGUUUGACUGGGGCGGUCUCCUCCUAAAGAGUAACGGAGGAGUACGAAGGUGCGCUCAGACCGGUCGGAAAUCGGUCGUAGAGUAUAAAGGCAAAAGCGCGCUUGACUGCGAGACAGACACGUCGAGCAGGUACGAAAGUAGGUCUUAGUGAUCCGGUGGUUCUGUAUGGAAGGGCCAUCGCUCAACGGAUAAAAGGUACUCCGGGGAUAACAGGCUGAUACCGCCCAAGAGUUCAUAUCGACGGCGGUGUUUGGCACCUCGAUGUCGGCUCAUCACAUCCUGGGGCUGAAGCCGGUCCCAAGGGUAUGGCUGUUCGCCAUUUAAAGUGGUACGCGAGCUGGGUUUAGAACGUCGUGAGACAGUUCGGUCCCUAUCUGCCGUGGACGUUUGAGAUUUGAGAGGGGCUGCUCCUAGUACGAGAGGACCGGAGUGGACGAACCUCUGGUGUUCCGGUUGUCACGCCAGUGGCAUUGCCGGGUAGCUAUGUUCGGAAUAGAUAACCGCUGAAAGCAUCUAAGCGGGAAACUAGCCUCAAGAUGAGAUCUCACUGGAACCUUGAGUUCCCUGAAGGGCCGUCGAAGACUACGACGUUGAUAGGUUGGGUGUGUAAGCGCUGUGAGGCGUUGAGCUAACCAAUACUAAUUGCCCGUGAGGCUUGAC
rnacentral:rRNA from 1 species